GACGAACGCUGGCGGCGUGCUUAACACAUGCAAGUCGAACGGAAAGGCCCUGCUUUUGUGGGGUGCUCGAGUGGCGAACGGGUGAGUAACACGUGAGUAACCUGCCCUUGACUUUGGGAUAACUUCAGGAAACUGGGGCUAAUACCGGAUAGGAGCUCCUGCAGCAUGGUGGGGGUUGGAAAGUUUCGGCGGUUGGGGAUGGACUCGCGGCUUAUCAGCUUGUUGGUGGGGUAGUGGCUUACCAAGGCUUUGACGGGUAGCCGGCCUGAGAGGGUGAACGGGGACAUGGGGACUGAGAGACGGCGCAGACUCCUAUAGGGGGCAGCGGUGGGGAAUAUUGUACAGUGGUCGGGAGCCUGAGGCAGAGGCGCCGCGUGCGGGAUGACGGCCUGCUGGUUGAGAACCGCUUUCGCCUGUGACGAAGCGGGAGUGACGGUAAUGGAUAAAGAAGCACCGGCUAACUACGUG
rnacentral:rRNA from 1 species